rnacentral:rRNA from 1 species
CAACUCGACUACAUGAAGCUGGAAUCGCUAGUAAUCGCAGAUCAGAAUGCUGCGGUGAAUACGUUCCCGGGUCUUGUACACACCGCCCGUCACACCAUGGGAGUCGGAAAUGCCCGAAGCCGGUGACCCCAACCAAAAAGGAGGGAGCCGUCGAAGGCAGGUCUGAUAACUGGGGUGAAGUCGUAACAAGGUAAC